rnacentral:rRNA from 1 species
UAAUACGUAGGGGGCAAGCGUUAUCCGGAUUCAUUGGGCGUAAAGAGCGCGUAGGCGGCUUGUUAAGCGAGAUGUGAAAACCGGGGGCUUAACCCGCGGCCUGCAUCUCGAACUGGCAGGCUUGAGUCUGGUAGAGGAGUGUGGAAUUCCCAGUGUAGCGGUGAAAUGCGCAGAUAUUGGGAGGAACACCAGUGGCGAAGGCGGCACUCUGGGCCACGACUGACGCUGAGGCGCGAAAGCUAGGGGAGCAAACAGG